AUGAACGCUAGCGGCAGGCCUAACACAUGCAAGUCGAGGGGUAACAGAGAUUGCUUGCAAUCUGCUGACGACCGGCGCACGGGUGCGUAACGCGUAUACAAUCUACCUUUUACUGAGGGAUAGCCCAGAGAAAUUUGGAUUAACACCUCAUAGUAUAUAGUUGUGGCAUCGCAAUUAUAUUAAAGGUUACGGUAAGAGAUGAGUAUGCGUCCUAUUAGUUAGUUGGUAAGGUAACGGCUUACCAAGACGACGAUAGGUAGGGGCCCUGAGAGGGGGAUCCCCCACACUGGUACUGAGACACGGACCAGACUCCUACGGGAGGCAGCAGUGAGGAAUAUUGGACAAUGGGCG
rnacentral:rRNA from 1 species